GGUGUGCUGGCGCAAUGGUAGCGCGUAGCUCUCCUAUGGUUCAAUCCAUAAGCUAAGGUUCUGGGUUCGAGUCCCAGGUACAUCU